ACGGGUGAGUAAUGUCUGGGGAUCUGCCCGAUAGAGGGGGAUAACCACUGGAAACGGUGGCUAAUACCGCAUAACGUCGCAAGACCAAAGAGGGGGACCUUCGGGCCUCUCACUAUCGGAUGAACCCAGAUGGGAUUAGCUAGUAGGCGGGGUAAUGGCCCACCUAGGCGACGAUCCCUAGCUGGUCUGAGAGGAUGACCAGCCACACUGGAACUGAGACACGGUCCAGACUCCUACGGGAGGCAGCAGUGGGGAAUAUUGCACAAUGGGCGCAAGCCUGAUGCAGCCAUGCCGCGUGUAUGAAGAAGGCCUUCGGGUUGUAAAGUACUUUCAGCGGGGAGGAAGGCGACGGGGUUAAUAACCCCGUCGAUUGACGUUACCCGCAGAAGAAGCACCGGCUAACUCCGUGCCAGCAGCCGCGGUAAUACGGAGGGUGCAAGCGUUAAUCGGAAUUACUGGGCGUAAAGCGCACGCAGGCGGUCUGUUAAGUCAGAUGUGAAAUCCCCGGGCUUAACCUGGGAACUGCAUUUGAAACUGGCAGGCUUGAGUCUUGUAGAGGGGGGUAGAAUUCCAGGUGUAGC
rnacentral:rRNA from 1 species